UGUCUCCUCCAUGUCUUCACUGAUGUGGAUUCAGCCCGCCUACCUAGGCGGGCUUUUUUUU
rnacentral:ncRNA from 1 species